AGCGUACACGGUGGAUGCCCUGGCAGUCAGAGGCGAUGAAGGACGUGCUAAUCUGCGAUAAGCGUCGGUAAGGUGAUAUGAACCGUUAUAACCGGCGAUUUCCGAAUGGGGAAACCCAGUGUGAUUCGUCACACUAUCAUUAACUGAAUCCAUAGGUUAAUGAGGCGAACCGGGGGAACUGAAACAUCUAAGUACCCCGAGGAAAAGAAAUCAACCGAGAUUCCCCCAGUAGCGGCGAGCGAACGGGGAGGAGCCCAGAGCCUGAAUCAGUGUGUGUGUUAGUGGAAGCGUCUGGAAAGGCGCGCGAUACAGGGUGACAGCCCCGUACACAAAAAUGCACAUACUGUGAGCUCGAUGAGUAGGGCGGGACACGUGGUAUCCUGUCUGAAUAUGGGGGGACCAUCCUCCAAGGCUAAAUACUCCUGACUGACCGAUAGUGAACCAGUACCGUGAGGGAAAGGCGAAAAGAACCCCGGCGAGGGGAGUGAAAAAGAACCUGAAACCGUGUACGUACAAGCAGUGGGAGCCUCUUAAUGGGGUGACUGCGUACCUUUUGUAUAAUGGGUCAGCGACUUAUAUUCUGUAGCAAGGUUAACCGAAUAGGGGAGCCGAAGGGAAACCGAGUCUUAACUGGGCGUUAAGUUGCAGGGUAUAGACCCGAAACCCGGUGAUCUAGCCAUGGGCAGGUUGAAGGUUGGGUAACACUAACUGGAGGACCGAACCGACUAAUGUUGAAAAAUUAGCGGAUGACUUGUGGCUGGGGGUGAAAGGCCAAUCAAACCGGGAGAUAGCUGGUUCUCCCCGAAAGCUAUUUAGGUAGCGCCUCGUGAAUUCAUCUCCGGGGGUAGAGCACUGUUUCGGCAAGGGGGUCAUCCCGACUUACCAACCCGAUGCAAACUGCGAAUACCGGAGAAUGUUAUCACGGGAGACACACGGCGGGUGCUAACGUCCGUCGUGAAGAGGGAAACAACCCAGACCGCCAGCUAAGGUCCCAAAGUCAUGGUUAAGUGGGAAACGAUGUGGGAAGGCCCAGACAGCCAGGAUGUUGGCUUAGAAGCAGCCAUCAUUUAAAGAAAGCGUAAUAGCUCACUGGUCGAGUCGGCCUGCGCGGAAGAUGUAACGGGGCUAAACCAUGCACCGAAGCUGCGGCAGCGACGCUGAUGCGUUGUUGGGUAGGGGAGCGUUCUGUAAGCCUGUGAAGGUGGCCUGUGAGGGUUGCUGGAGGUAUCAGAAGUGCGAAUGCUGACAUAAGUAACGAUAAAGCGGGUGAAAAGCCCGCUCGCCGGAAGACCAAGGGUUCCUGUCCAACGUUAAUCGGGGCAGGGUGAGUCGACCCCUAAGGCGAGGCCGAAAGGCGUAGUCGAUGGGAAACAGGUUAAUAUUCCUGUACUUGGUGUUACUGCGAAGGGGGGACGGAGAAGGCUAUGUUGGCCGGGCGACGGUUGUCCCGGUUUAAGCGUGUAGGCUGGUUUUCCAGGCAAAUCCGGAAAAUCAAGGCUGAGGCGUGAUGACGAGGCACUACGGUGCUGAAGCGACAAAUGCCCUGCUUCCAGGAAAAGCCUCUAAGCAUCAGGUAACAUCAAAUCGUACCCCAAACCGACACAGGUGGUCAGGUAGAGAAUACCAAGGCGCUUGAGAGAACUCGGGUGAAGGAACUAGGCAAAAUGGUGCCGUAACUUCGGGAGAAGGCACGCUGAUAUGUAGGUGAAGCGACUUGCUCGUGGAGCUGAAAUCAGUCGAAGAUACCAGCUGGCUGCAACUGUUUAUUAAAAACACAGCACUGUGCAAACACGAAAGUGGACGUAUACGGUGUGACGCCUGCCCGGUGCCGGAAGGUUAAUUGAUGGGGUUAGCGGUAACGCGAAGCUCUUGAUCGAAGCCCCGGUAAACGGCGGCCGUAACUAUAACGGUCCUAAGGUAGCGAAAUUCCUUGUCGGGUAAGUUCCGACCUGCACGAAUGGCGUAAUGAUGGCCAGGCUGUCUCCACCCGAGACUCAGUGAAAUUGAACUCGCUGUGAAGAUGCAGUGUACCCGCGGCAAGACGGAAAGACCCCGUGAACCUUUACUAUAGCUUGACACUGAACAUUGAGCCUUGAUGUGUAGGAUAGGUGGGAGGCUUUGAAGUGUGGACGCCAGUCUGCAUGGAGCCGACCUUGAAAUACCACCCUUUAAUGUUUGAUGUUCUAACGUGGGCCCCUUACCGGGGUUGCGGACAGUGUCUGGUGGGUAGUUUGACUGGGGCGGUCUCCUCCUAAAGAGUAACGGAGGAGCACGAAGGUUGGCUAAUCCUGGUCGGACAUCAGGAGGUUAGUGCAAUGGCAUAAGCCAGCUUGACUGCGAGCGUGACGGCGCGAGCAGGUGCGAAAGCAGGUCAUAGUGAUCCGGUGGUUCUGAAUGGAAGGGCCAUCGCUCAACGGAUAAAAGGUACUCCGGGGAUAACAGGCUGAUACCGCCCAAGAGUUCAUAUCGACGGCGGUGUUUGGCACCUCGAUGUCGGCUCAUCACAUCCUGGGGCUGAAGUAGGUCCCAAGGGUAUGGCUGUUCGCCAUUUAAAGUGGUACGCGAGCUGGGUUUAGAACGUCGUGAGACAGUUCGGUCCCUAUCUGCCGUGGGCGCUGGAGAACUGAGGGGGGCUGCUCCUAGUACGAGAGGACCGGAGUGGACGCAUCACUGGUGUUCGGGUUGUCAUGCCAAUGGCACUGCCCGGUAGCUAAAUGCGGAAGAGAUAAGUGCUGAAAGCAUCUAAGCACGAAACUUGCCCCGAGAUGAGUUCU
rnacentral:rRNA from 1 species